UACGUAGGGGGCAAGCGUUGUCCGGACUUACUGGGCGUAAAGCGUAGUGCAGGCGGGUGGCUAUGUGCCGUGUGAAAGCUCCGCGCUUACUCGCGGAGAGGUCGCGGUAAGACAGGCCGCCUUGGAGGCUCGGAGAGGUCAGUGGAAUUCUCGGUGUAGUGGUAGAAAUGCGUAGAUAUCGAGAGGAACACCAGUGGCGGCAAGCGGCGUGACUGGCCGAGACCUGACG
rnacentral:rRNA from 1 species